rnacentral:lncRNA from 1 species
AUUAUUCUGGGGAUGGCCCAUAAGAAUGGUUGAACUAUGAAAAUUAUCAUUUGAUCAUAGCAGAAAAACAGAUUAGAAAAACCAUAAUAGAAUAGGUAUAGUAUAUACUGACAGCCAGUAAGUACAGUAUCUCAGGCCUGCAUAUUCUCAAUAGCUGUAAAGCAUAUAUUAUACAGGUUAAUUUACUUAUCUUAGGUGGGUUAUCUAUUCUCUUGCUGCCUGAUUUAUAGUAUCUUCACCCAAUAUCCUUUCUUAUUCUUUCAGUUAAGAUACUGUAUUUUAAUAUCAGAGUUAAUAUAUUCCUUAGAAGGAAGUUAGAUACUUAGAGGUUUUUUUUUUUUUUUUUUCCCUUCACUCUCUUGAUUUAUUUUACCCU